rnacentral:rRNA from 1 species
GAUGAACGCUGACAGAAUGCUUAACACAUGCAAGUCAACUUGAAUUUGGGUUUUUAACUUAGGUUUGGGUGGCGGACGGGUGAGUAACGCGUAAAGAACUUGCCUCACAGCUAGGGACAACAUUUGGAAACGAAUGCUAAUACCUAAUAUUAUGAUAAUAGGGCAUCCUAUAAUUAUGAAAGCUAUAAGCGCUGUGAGAGAGCUUUGCGUCCCAUUAGCUAGUUGGAGAGGUAACGGCUCACCAAGGCGAUGAUGGGUAGCCGGCCUGAGAGGGUGAUCGGCCACAAGGGGACUGAGACACGGCCCUUACUCCUACGGGAGGCAGCAGUGGGGAAUAUUGGACAAUGGACCGAGAGUCUGAUCCAGCAAUUCUGUGUGCACGAUGAAGUUUUUCGGAGUGUAAAGUGCUUUCAGUUGGGAAGAAACAAAUGACGGUACCAACAGAAGAAGUGACGGCUAAAUACGUG